CUCCAUCCCAGCACCCUGGGAUCAUGACCUGAGCUGAAAGCGGCCGCCCAACUGACUGAGCCCCCCAGUCACCAAGACAACCUCAUCUUUAACUUCACCUGCUACUACGUACUCUGGGAGGCCUCAAACAUCAGCAAUGGCCACAAGACACCACUGGCAGCUCACCAGUAAGAAAGAUCACCUGUCCAGAUGUGGACAUCAGCCAUGGCGUUUCUUGUCAACUGCCAGCUCACCUGCCCCCGACACCGGACAUAGGUGUCUCCAUGUCUGCCAGUGACCUGUUGAGGGGCCCACAGAUUUUCUGUGUGCACUUCCUGUGUGCUUCUACCUCUCUGCUCAGGCAGCAGCCAGCAGAUUUCCCUCUGCUCUUCACAGGGGCAGCCUAGUGGUCAUUCCAAAGGUACAACUCACAAACCAGUGGGCUGCACCAACUAGGGAGGACUGGACAUUGUAACUGUCCAGUGGAAACACACAGAGCCUCGAACCAUGCUUCCGUAACAGCUCAAGUUCCUACCAUUGCCUGCUCCUGGCGAGUAGUGAUUGUCUGCGUGCUCCUUUUUCUCCUGGUACCAGCACUGAGACUGGCCCUGGGACCUCAGCUGUGAGUGGAUCUAAGAAGAGUUGUUGUUUUCUGUCUUCUUGCAAUUGGUGGUUGUUGGUUUUGUUCUUGUGUUGCAGCUGUGAGGUCAGGAAAACUGUUCCAAAUGGUUCAGUGUUGAUCCAGAAACCAGAGGAUCCUGCAAUAUGUGAACACAUGAACAACUUCAGGCUAGCUCUGUCCUGCGAUGGAGGCCCUUAGAGACAAUCCUGUCACACACACAUUUUACCCACAAUGCUGAGUAACUUAACUCAACA